rnacentral:rRNA from 1 species
UACAGAGGGUGCAAGCGUUAAUCGGAAUUACUGGGCGUAAAGCGUGCGCAGACGGUUGCGUAAGUCAGAUGUGAAAGCCCCGGGCUUAACCCGGGAAUGGCAUUGAAUACUGCUGAUCUGGAGGAUCGGAGGGGGGACUGGAAUUCUUGGUGUAGCAGUGAAAUGCGUAGAUAUCAAGAGGAACACCAGUGGCGAAGGCGAGUCCCUGGACGAUACCUGACACUGAGGCACGAAAGCCAAGGGAGCAAACAGG